UGGGGAAUAUUGGACAAUGGGGGCAACCCUGAUCCAGCCAUGCCGCGUGAGUGAUGAAGGCCCUAGGGUUGUAAAGCUCUUUCGGCGGGGACGAUAAUGACGGUACCCGCAGAAGAAGCCCCGGCUAACUUCGUGCCAGCAGCCGCGGUAAUACGAAGGGGGCUAGCGUUGCUCGGAAUCACUGGGCGUAAAGCGCACGUAGGCGGAUCUUUAAGUCAGGGGUGAAAUCCCGAGGCUCAACCUCGGAACUGCCUUUGAUACUGGGGAUCUCGAGUCCGGAAGAGGUUGGUGGAACUCCGAGUGUAGAGGUGAAAUUCGUAGAUAUUCGGAAGAACACCAGUGGCGAAGGCGGCCAACUGGUCCGGUACUGACGCUGAGGUGCGAAAGCGUGGGGAGCAAACA
rnacentral:rRNA from 2 species